UCUGGUGCCAAUGGCAAAGAGGUCACACCUGUUCCCAUGCCGAACACAGAAGUUAAGCUCUUUAGCGCCGAUGGUAAAGCUUCGAAGCAAUCAUUAUUGUUUCGGGGC
rnacentral:rRNA from 1 species